rnacentral:rRNA from 1 species
AGCCUGAACGCUGGCGGCGUGGCUAAGACGUGCAAGUCGAACGGAUGUAGCAAUACAUCAGUGGCGGACGGGUGAGUAAUGAAUCGCUAACGUACCCCGGAGCCUGGGAUAGCUGCCCGAAAGGGCAGGUAAUACCAGAUGAGACCACGAACAGGCAUCUGUUUGUGCUCAAAGCAGCAAUGCAC